rnacentral:misc_RNA from 1 species
UAAAGUUUUUGGAACUUAUUCCAAAAACAUGUUAUUUUAGUUGAGAAUGUAGCUAAACACUUUAAAUAAAGUUUUGGAGACUAACAAAUCUAAUCAAAGUAUCAAAAUAUGGAUCAGAAAAACAGAAUAGGGGAGUUUCAUAUUACAUGGCCUGUGUAGUUUGUUACACGCCCUUUGUAGCAUUACAUGACCUUAGACCAUAUAACUCUCAGUUCUUUCCAUUUUCACUCUUUUUGGCAUUACACUGCUUGUGUAACUUUUACACCACUUAUGUAACUACUUAGAAUAUCAUUACAUAACUUAUGUAACGUUUACACAUCUUAUGUAACGACAAGCCUAUCAUUACAUGGCUCAUGUAAUUGGAUUGUGCAAGUGCAAAAUAGGAAAAAUAAGAUUUUAAUUCUUGAAACCUAGAAUUUCAUAGGUCUUAACCUACAAACAUCAUGUAACAAAACUUGUAAUGGCGAAAUAGGAUGACUCUGAUACCAAUUGAAGGAGUGG